UGACAUACCAGAUAAGUAGCUGAACCGUCAGAAGUCAGCAGAGGUCAUAGUAUUAGUUGGUCUAGAACAACUAAGAAGGAC
rfam:Bacillus sp. X1(2014), complete genome.